UGCCAGCCGCCGCGGUAAUACGGAGGGGGUUAGCGUUGUUCGGAAUUACUGGGCGUAAAGCGCACGUAGGCGGACUGGAAAGUUGGGGGUGAAAUCCCAGGGCUCAACCCUGGAACUGCCUUUGAUACUGGAAGUCUUGAGACCGAGAGAGGUGAGUGGAGCUCCGAGUGUAGAGGUGAAAUUCGUAGAUAUUCGGAAGAACACCAGUGGCGAAGGCGGCUCACUGGCUCGGUACUGACGCUGAGGUGCGAAAGCGUGGGGAGCAAACAGGAUUAGAAA
rnacentral:rRNA from 1 species